rnacentral:rRNA from 1 species
CACGUAGGGUGCAAGCGUUGUCCGGAAUUAUUGGGCGUAAAGGGCUCGUAGGCGGUCCGUCACGUCGGGAGUGAAAACUCGGGGCUCAACCCCGAGCCUGCUUUCGAUACGGGCGGACUAGAGGUAGGUAGGGGAGAACGGAAUUCCUGGUGUAGCGGUGAAAUGCGCAGAUAUCAGGAGGAACACCGGUGGCGAAGGCGGGUCUCUGGGCCGAUACUGACGCUGAGGAGCGAAAGCGUGGGGAGCGAACAGG